AGCAGCCGCGGUAAUUCCAGCUCCAAUAGCGUAUAUUAAAGUUGUUGUGGUUAAAAAGCUCGUAGUUGAACCUUGGGCCUGGCUGGCCGGUCCGCCUCACCGCGUGUACUGGUCCGGCCGGGCCUUUCCCUCUGUGGAACCCCAUGCCCUUCACUGGGUGUGGCGGGGAAACAGGACUUUUACUUUGAAAAAAUUAGAGUGCUCCAGGCAGGCCUAUGCUCGAAUACAUUAGCAUGGAAUAAUAGAAUAGGACGUGUGGUUCUAUUUUGUUGGUUUCUAGGACCGCCGUAAUGAUUAAUAGGGACAGUCGGGGGCAUCAGUAUUCAAUUGUCAGAGGUGAAAUUCUUGGAUUUAUUGAAGACUAACUACUGCGAAAGCAUUUGCCAAGGAUGUUUUCAUUAAUCAGGAACGAAAGUUAGGGGUCGAAGACGAUCAGAUACCGUCGUAGUCUUAACCAUAAACUAUGCCGACUAGGGAUCGGACGAUGUUAUUUUUGACUCGUUCGG
rnacentral:rRNA from 1 species